GUAGCUCAGUGGUAGAGCAUCUGCUUUGCAUGCAGAAGGUGCCAGGUUCAAUCACUGGCAUCUCCA